GACGAACGCUGGCGGCGUGCUUAACACAUGCAAGUCGAACGGAAAGGCCCUGCUUUUGUGGGGUGCUCGAGUGGCGAACGGGUGAGUAACACGUGAGUAACCUGCCCUUGACUUUGGGAUAACUUCAGGAAACUGGGGCUAAUACCGGAUAGGAGCUCCUGCUGCAUGGUGGGGGUUGGAAAGUUUCGGCGGUUGGGGAUGGACUCGCGGCUUAUCAGCUUGUUGGUGGGGUAGUGGCUUACCAAGGCUUUGACGGGUAGCCGGCCUGAGAGGGUGACCGGCCACAUUGGGACUGAGAUACGGCCCAGACUCCUACGGGAGGCAGCAGUGGGGAAUAUUGCACAAUGGGCGGAAGCUUGAUGCAGCAACGCCGCGUGCGGGAUGACGGCCUUCGGGUUGUAAACCGCUUUCGCCUGUGACGAAGCGUGAGUGACGGUAAUGUGUAAAGAAGCACCGGCUAACUACGUG
rnacentral:rRNA from 1 species